rnacentral:rRNA from 1 species
UACAGAGGGGGCAAGCGUUGUUCGGAAUUACUGGGCGUAAAGGGCGCGUAGGCGGCCCGCUAAGUCGGACGUGAAAUCCCUCGGCUCAACCGAGGAACUGCGUCCGAUACUGGCAGGCUGGAAUCCGGGAGAGGGAUGUGGAAUUCCAGGUGUAGCGGUGAAAUGCGUAGAUAUCUGGAGGAACACCGGUGGCGAAGGCGGCAUCCUGGACCAACACUGACGCUGAGGAGCGAAAGCCAGGGGAGCAAACGGG